rnacentral:rRNA from 1 species
UACGGGGGGGGCAAGCGUUGUUCGGAAUUACUGGGCGUAAAGGGCUCGUAGGCGGCCAACUAAGUCAGACGUGAAAUCCCUCGGCUUAACCGGGGAACUGCAUCUGAUACUGGAUGGCUUGAGUUCGGGAGAGGGAUGCGGAAUUCCAGGUGUAGCGGUGAAAUGCGUAGAUAUCUGGAGGAACACCGGUGGCGAAGGCGGUUCUCUGGGCAUGACCUGA